CCGCGGGGUAGAGCAGUUUGGUAGCUCGCAAGGCUCAUAACCUUGAGGUCACGGGUUCAAAUCCUGUCUCCGCAA
rnacentral:tRNA from 1 species